UCGACCUGAGCUCAGGCAAGAUUACCCGCUGAACUUAAGCAUAUCAAUAAGCGGAGGAAAAGAAACUAACAAGGAUUCCCCUAGUAACGGCGAGCGAACCGGGAAUAGCCCAGCUUGAAAAUCUCCCUUGGAGAAUUGUAGUCUGUAGAAGCGCCCUCUGCGGCGGCCGGGCUCCAAGUCCCCUGGAAGGGGGCGUCAGAGAGGGUGAGAACCCCGUCGAGCCUUGGCUUAGCCGCCUCACGAGGUGCUUUCGAAGAGUCGGGUUGCUUGGGAAUGCAGCCCAAAGUAGGUGGUAAAUCCCAUCUAAGGCUAAAUACUGGCGAGAGACCGAUAGCGAACAAGUACCGCGAGGGAAAGAUGAAAAGAACUUUGAAAAGAGAGUUAAAAAGUGCUUGAAAUUGUUGAGGGGGAAGCGAUUGGCAGCUGCGUGUGCGCCCAGGCUUACGCCGUCCUAACGGGCGGCUGCAUGUGCUGGGCGCUGGUCAGCAUGGGUUGGCUUGGCAGGAUAACCGCGGGGGUUGUUACCCCGUCUAUGCUGCCGGGCCGACCGAGGUGUGAAGGCCGCUCUGUCCCUCGGGAUCUGCGGCCUCAAGAUGCUGGCGGAAGGCUUUCAAUCGGCCCGUCUUGAAACACGGACCAAGGAGUCUAACAUGUAUGCGAGCUGGUGGGUGGAAAACCCAUGAGGCGCAAGUAACCUGACUGGUGGGAUGGCGUAAGCCUGCACCAUCGACCGACCAUGAUCUUCUGUGAAAGGUUCGAGUACGAGCAUACCUGUUGGGACCCGAAAGAUGGUGAACUAUGCCUGAGCAGGGCGAAGCCAGAGGAAACUCUGGUGGAGGCUCGUAGAUGUGCUGACGUGCAAAUCGCUUUUCGGACUUGGGUAUAGGGGCGAAAGACUAAUCGAACCAUCUAGUAGCUGGUUCCCUCCGAAGUUUCCCCCAGGAUAGCUGGAGCUCAAUCAGUUUUAUCGGGUAAAGCUAAUGAUUAGAGGUUCGGGGGAUGAAACAUCCUCCACCUAUUCUCAAACUUUAAAUAGGUAAGACGCGCGGGUUGCUUGAUUGAACCCUCGCAUUCAAUGAGAGCUCCAAGUGGGCCAUUUUUGGUAAGCAGAACUGGCGAUGCGGGAUGAACCGAUAGUCGAGUUAAGGUGCCGGACUACGCGCUAACCUAGAUCCCACAAAGGGUGUUGAUUGAUACAGACAGCAGGACGGUGGUCAUGGAAGUCGAAAUCCGCUAAGGAGUGUGUAACAACUCACCUGCCGAAUCAAUUAGCCCCGAAAAUGGAUGGCGCUGAAGCGCGUGACCUAUACUCGGCCAUGGGGGCAAGUGCGAGGCUCCCAUGAGUAGGAGGGCGUGGGUGUCGCUGCGCAGCCUGGGGCGCGAGCCCGGGUGAAGCGGCAUCUAGUGCAGAUCUUGGUGGUAGUAGCAAAUAUUCAAAUGAGAACUUU
rnacentral:rRNA from 1 species